rnacentral:lncRNA from 1 species
GCGGGGGAGGGAAAGGGAGGGAGGGGGGGGCGGGCGUCGGGACAUUUAAACGGCGCGGAGCGGCCGUCUGACCCUUUGCUGCGCUAUGGAUCCUCAGGGGCACGUGCGAAGCACUUCUGCCCAAGGUGCCAAGGAAGGAGUAAGCAAGCCCGCCGUGCCGCAGAAGAACGCGUACGCUCGGCUUGUGCAGAAGCACCACAGCGGCCGAUUCCGGUCCUACAUGAAUCACGUCGCACAGAAAAUGCAGCUGGAAGACGGCACCUGCAACGACCUCAGCUUGGACCUGGACCCACCCCUGAGGAGAGGACUGGCGAAGGAGAACAUGACCAGGAACGGGUUGAAAGCGCACAGCUAUUCACCAGGCAGAGCGCCUCACCUGGAACAGCCCGUGCCUGGGGGAUUGGAGAACGAGAAAUCCGUCCUCAACAGGUGUUCUCAUCGAAAAAAUGCCAACGUUAACCUAGAAGGAGACUUGGAGGUGGAGGAAGACUACAACGUGCACCAGCGUGGAGCUGCAGGUGAUUUGUUAAACGCGAGUGAUGCCCCGGGUGGGAGAGCAUCGACCGGCCCGAGGCACGGCGCAGCUCUGCAGAGGUCAUCUGGUUCUGACGAGAAGGAUGAGGAGGACACGUGGAGAAAGAAACACAAGAAACGAGGCAGGUGUCCUGCCAACACGGACCCGGCAGCUGGGCACUCAGUGACUGAGCAGUUUGGCGGGGAUGUGCUGGCAGCAAAUGCCAGGAAAAGCAGUCACUUGUCUGCAGGCCACGUCCACGGUGCAGAAAAGAGAGGGUUUGCAAGGACCAGGAAACAACUCUGA